rnacentral:rRNA from 1 species
AUCAAAAACAUGUCUUUUUGAAAUUUAUUUAAAGUCAGAUCUGCUCAGUGAAAUUUUUCAACAGCUGCAGAAUUUUAACUGUACAAAGGUAGCAUAAUAAUUAGUUUAUUAAUUGUGAACUGGAAUGAAUGAUUAAAUAAAAUUUAAACUUUAUUAAUUUAAAUUAAUAAUUUAAUUUUUAAGUAAAAAAGCUUAAAUUUUGAUUAGGGACGAGAAGACCCUAUAGAUUUUUAUUAAUAUUAAUUUAAAUUGAAUUUUAAAUGAUGUAUUUAUUUAAAUGGGGAAUUUAUUAAAUUAAAUAAUUUUAAUAAUAUAAAACAAAAAUUAUUGAUAAAAUUGAUGGGAAAUAGUUAUAAAGAAAAAAAUACCUUAGGGAUAACAGCAUAAUAAUUUUAUUAAGUUCAUAUUUUUAAAAUUGAUUAUGACCUCGAUGUUG